GACGAACGCUGGCGGCGUGCUUAACACAUGCAAGUCGAACGAAGUGGCGAACGGGUGAGUAACGCGUAAUCAACCUGCCCUUCAGAGGGGGACAACAGUUGGAAACGACUGCUAAUACCGCAUACUGAAGGAGGGGAGUGUGUCUGAUUAGCUAGUUGGGGGGGGAACGGCCAACCAAGGCGAAGAUGAGUAGCCGGUCUGAGAGGGUGAACGGCCACAUUGGGACUUGAAAACGGCCCAGCCUCCUACGGGGAGGAGCCGUGGGGGAGUUUCCGAAAUGGACAUAGGUCUGAAGGCAGAACGGCGGCGGAGUGAUAGAGGCCUUCGGGUUGGAAAGCUCUGUUAAUCGGGGAGCGGUACCGGAAGAGAAAGCAACGGCUAACUACGUGCCAGCAGCCGCGGUAAUAC
rnacentral:rRNA from 1 species